rnacentral:rRNA from 1 species
AGAGUUUGAUCCUGGCUCAGGACGAACGCUGGCGGCGUGCCUAACACAUGCAAGUCGAACGAGGUCCAUGCAGUGGCAACACUGCGGAAGACCUAGUGGCGAACGGGUGAGUAACACGUGAGGAACUUGCCCCGGAGACCGGGAUAACCCUCCGAAAGGAGAGCUAAUACCGGAUGUGCUCACUGAGUCGCAUGGCUCGGUGAGGAAAUGGAUUCCGCUCCGGGAGAGUCUCGCGGCCUAUCAGCUUGUUGGCGGGGUAACGGCCCACCAAGGCAUCGACGGGUAGCUGGUCUGAGAGGACGAUCAGCCACACUGGGACUGAGACACGGCCCAGACUCCUACGGGAGGCAGCAGUGGGGAAUCUUGCGCAAUGGGCGAAAGCCUGACGCAGCAACGCCGCGUGCGGGAUGACGGCCCUCGGGUUGUAAACCGCUUUCAGUGGGGACGAAACAAGACGGUACCCACAGAAGAAGCCCCGGCCAACUACGUGCCAGCAGCCGCGGUAACACGUAGGGGGCGAGCGUUGUCCGGAUUUAUUGGGCGUAAAGAGCUCGUAGGCGGUUCGAUAAGUCGGGUGUGAAACCUCCAGGCUCAACCUGGAGACGCCACCCGAUACUGUCGUGACUAGAGUCCAGUAGGGGAGCGUGGAAUUCCUGGUGUAGCGGUGAAAUGCGCAGAUAUCAGGAGGAACACCAGUGGCGAAGGCGGCGCUCUGGGCUGGAACUGACGCUGAGGAGCGAAAGCGUGGGGAGCGAACAGGAUUAGAUACCCUGGUAGUCC